AUCUUUUUCAUGGAGGCUGAAAUUAGCAUGGGGGAAGCCAUGGCUAGGGUUUUCAAGCUUUCCAAUCUCAAUAUGUCGCAGAUGUUAGCUCGAGUUGGAGGUCGCCGGAGGUUAAAUCACACUAUCAAACUAUUGAUCGAUAUAUAAAGAUUAGGUACUUUGCUUUUGAUCGCCGAUUCAGCAUCCAACAACGAUCCCGAGCUCAAAUGUGGUGAUGUUUAUCUUUUGUGUCAGCAUGUACUUAGGAUGUUUAAAUGAUAGUUAUUUUGUGGUUGGAGUGUAAAUGAGGUUAUAAGUGUAAGGAUGGUUUGGUAUGUUUAUAAUUUGGAGUUGAAUGAUGCUUUGAUGAUAUGAUUUGAGGAUAUAACUGUGUACCAAUGAGGGUACAUUGGUUAGGUA